CGUAGGUGGCAAGCGUUGUCCGGAUUUAUUGGGUUUAAAGGGUGCGUAGGCGGUUCCAUAAGUCAGUGGUGAAAUACAAUAGCUUAACUAUUGAGGUGCCAUUGAUACUGCGGAACUUGAGUACAGACGAGGUAGGCGGAAUUGACGGUGUAGCGGUGAAAUGCUUAGAUAUCGUCAAGAACACCGAUAGCGAAGGCAGCUUACUAGACUGUAACUGACGCUGAGGCACGAAAGUGUGGGGAUCAAACAGGAUUAGAUACCCUGGUAGUCCACACUGUAAACGAUGAUUACUCGAUGUUGGCGAUACACAGCCAGCGUCUUAGCAAAAGCGAUAAGUAAUCCACCUGGGGAGUACGCCGGCAACGGUG
rnacentral:rRNA from 1 species